AGAGUUUGAUUAUGGCUCAGGAUGAACGCUGGCGGUGUGCCUAAUACAUGCAAGUCGAUCGGGCGUAGCAAUACGUCAGAGGCGUACGGGUGAGUAACACGUAGGUAACCUACCUUUAAGACUGGGAUACCCAGACGAAAGUUUGGCUAAUACCGGAUAACAACAUUUGAGACAUCUCUUUUGUUUGAAAGGCGCUGCAAGGCGCCACUUUUAGAUGGACCUGCGUCGCAUUAGCUAGUUGGUGAGAUAAAAGCCCACCAAGGCUGGGAUGCGUAGCCGAUCUGAGAGGAUGACCGGCCACAAUGGGACUGAGACACGGCCCAUACUCCUACGGGAGGCAGCAGUAGGGAGUUUUCGGCAAUGGGGGAAACCCUGACCGAGCAACACCGCGUGAGUGAUGAAGGUCUUCGGAUCGUAAAGCUCUGUUACGAGGGACGAAUGAUCGCUUUAGGAAAUGAGAGCGGUUUGACGGUACCCCGCCAGAAAGCGACGGCUAACUACGUGCCAGCAGCCGC
rnacentral:rRNA from 1 species